ACACUGUAUCCACCUGGCGGUGACGGGCAGCCCCGGCGGCCAAUCAGGCGGCGGCGCGGCAGGCGCCGCGUUCCAUGGGUGCGACGCUCUCUGUGACGCCACUGUGAGGUCACUGCUGGGUGUGGGUCCCGCCCCCUUCGGUUUCCCGCGGGGGCUCCCCGCGCGGAGCUCGGCCGUGCGGGGGCGCUGGGCGGACUGGGAUAGACUGGGGCAGACUGGGGCAGACUGGGACAGACUAGGGAGCCGUGCAGCGACCCCAGGGCCAUCGCAGAGGGAAGGGGGACCCCCAGCUGGCCUCCCCCCCAACCGGUGCAGGUUUGUGCACCCUGACCUGCUCCUGCACUGGUGUCACGAGCGGCCCCGGUCUCUGCGGGCCACUGAGACACUCGCCUCCUGCCCAGGCCCCAGCUGCGCCUUCCCUGCCCAGCAUCGCCCCACCUGGAAAACACCUGCAUUUUAGGAGCAAACCGACCAAAUCAGGGAUGUGAGGCUGAAAGGCCGGAGUGUCCGGGCUCACUGCUAACCUGUUUUGCCACUUUCCAGGGUCUUGCCGACGGGCCGAUUUCGUGAUGGAAGCAGGGAAGAGGGCCCUGCAAGGCUGCGCAGGCCACCGGCAGCGCGGGGUGGCCCUGGCGACCGCUGCUGGGCUCAGGGGCACGCAGCCGCUUUUAGUGAUUGGGUUGCGGAAUUAACAAAGGGAAAGCGGCAGAGGCGAUAUAUCUGGGUCUCAGUAAGGGAUUCGACAUGGUGUCUUACCAAAUUCUAUUGGAAAAAAUUGAUUCAAAUAAAUUACCCCAAACACAAAUGCCACCACGUGGCCUAAAACUGGCCAGAAAGGCUUUGAAGAAAGGGUGAUGAUGAAUAGGACAAUGUUGUGUUGGGUGCAAGGGCUAGCGGGUGUCUUCUGGUGCUCUGCCUAAUUAACAUCUUUACUAAUGACCUGGAAGGGCAAUAACUACAUUGAGAAAAGUGGUGAGCUGUGGAGGGUGCAGCAGGGCAAGCGCCAGCCCCGAGGGCCCGCGGGAGAGGAUGCAGCGAAAGCGUCUUCGAGUGCAGAAAGCAUGGCUUUCUUCCUCCUUUGCUUCCCAGCUCUUAAAGAAAUGCGGAUAUACCUGGGGAGGGUAUUGAGCAUAGAGCAACAGCUCCAAAAGCCCGGCUGCUCCCGGGGUGAGAUGGCGUGGGAGGAGGCGCAUAGUGAAGAGCCGGGAGCCAAGCAGGGACUUGGCCCUGUGUUCACCAGAAAGGCCCAUGACCAACAGUUUUCCGCUCCCUGAAGCCACCAAUGGCCACUGAAUCGCUCUGGUUGUCACCUGGGUUUUAAGCAGGCUGUGAGGCACCAGCGUCCCCGCAGCUGGAGAGCAUCCACGUGGCACGGUGAGAGGAGUCUGCUUUUCCCUUUGCAAACCAGAACAGAUCCUGUUUUCUGUUCAAAGCAUUUUGUUUUGUCCUCCCCUAAAUGCCACCCCUGCAAACUCCCGUCCGGCUGCAUUGGGGCACGCUGGCUCCGGGGUGCAGAGCAUCCGUCUCUGCCCGCGUCCUCUGGGGCUGGGGUGCUGCACUGGCCCCUUCAUGCUGAUUGCAGCAGCUUAAUUGAACCACGGGGAAAAAAAAAAAAAACUCACUUGCAAAUAUUCCCUUUGAUUUUGUAUUAUUAUUAUUAUUAAGUCAAUGGAGCGUGGCUGAAAAUUAAGAGCGAGAAGACAAGCAGAAAAAGGAAUCGGUUGAGUUUCCCUUGGCUCACCGUGCUCUUAGCCGAGGAACCCUCCCUUUGCCAGCCCACUGCAAGGAUCCCACCUGCACGCAGCAGCUGGGAGCGAGGCCCACGAGGCCCACGGCCAAGCCAAGGCUGUGUUUCCCUGUCUCCGGUCUCACAUAGGGUGUCCCAUGUCCUGCAUCCCCUAUGCCAUGUCCCCGGUCCCAUGGUGGUGGUGCAAGGCCAUCCAAACCUAUGGUUUUCAGGUUUAAUCCUAUCUCCUCAGCAAGAUGAACGGUGCCGAAGCAGCUGGGGGGGGGGGGGGGGGGGGGAACGGGACGCUGCAGGAGGAUGGUGUUGCUUCUGCAAUCCCAUCUCUCCUCACCCCUCAGCCAUGGCUCGGCCGCUCCGUGGCAGGGCUGCUUGAACCUGCCAGGGCCUCCCAAGCUAUUCGACACCUCAAAGGGGGGGGCAGGAGAAAUGCGAAUCUGCCGAAACUUGUCUCCUGGGUGGAUCGCGACACCUCCCCGCUGCAGUGGCGGGUGUCCGCUCUGGCGCGAGCCUUGGAUGCUGAUGGGGAG
ensembl:lncRNA